AUUGAACGCUGGCGGCAGGCCUAACACAUGCAAGUCGAGCGGAUGAGAGGAGCUUGCUUCUCGAUUCAGCGGCGGACGGGUGAGUAAUGCCUAGGAAUCUGCCUGGUAGUGGGGGACAACGUUUCGAAAGGAACGCUAAUACCGCAUACGUCCUACGGGAGAAAGCAGGGGACCUUCGGGCCUUGCGCUAUCAGAUGAGCCUAGGUCGGAUUAGCUCGUUGGUGAGGUAAUGGCUCACCAAGGCGACGAUCCGUAACUGGUCUGAGAGGAUGAUCAGUCACACUGGAACUGAGACACGGUCCAGACUCCUACGGGAGGCAGCAGUGGGGAAUAUUGGACAAUGGGCGAAAGCCUGAUCCAGCCAUGCCGCGUGUGUGAAGAAGGUCUUCGGAUUGUAAAGCACUUUAAGUUGGGAGGAGGGGUUGUAGAUUAAUACUCUGCAAUUUUGACGUUACCGACAGAAUAAGCACCGGCUAACUCUGUGCCAGCCGCCGCCGUAA
rnacentral:rRNA from 1 species